UAUUUACUCCCUCAGUCCGUAAAUACUUGUCCUUCAAAUGAUUGUAUCUAGACUUAUUUUAGUUAUAGAUAUAUCCAUUUUAUUCAUUUCAAGGACAAGUAUUUCUGGACGGAGGGAGUAUUUG
rfam:Triticum aestivum genome assembly, contig: Triticum_aestivum_CS42_TGACv1_scaffold_499716_6BL